CCUACGGGAGGCAGCAGUAGGGACUCUUCCACAAUGGGCGAAAGCCUGAUGGAGCAACGCCGCGUGGGUGAAGAAGGUCUUCGGAUCGUAAAACCCUGUUGUUAGAGAAGAAAGUGCGUGAGAGUAACUGUUCACGUUUCGACGGUAUCUAACCAGAAAGCAACGGCUAACUACGUGCCAGCACCCGCGGUAAUACGUAGGUGGCAAGCGUUAUCCGGAUUUAUUGGGCGUAAAGGGAACGCAGGCGGGUUUUUAAGUCUGAUGGGAAAGCCUUCGGCUUAACCGGAGUAGUGCAUUGGAAGCUGGGAGACUUGAGUGCAGAAGAGGAGAGUGGAACGCCAUGUGUAGCGGUGAAAUGCGUAGAUAUAUGGAAGAACACCAGUGGCGAAAGCGGCUCUCUGGUCUGUAACUGACGCUGAGGUUCGAAAGCGUGGGUAGCAAACAGGAUUAGAUACCCCUGUAGUC
rnacentral:rRNA from 1 species